rnacentral:rRNA from 1 species
AUUGAACGCUGGCGGCAUGCUUUACACAUGCAAGUCGAACGGCAACAGGUUAAGCUGACGAGUGGCGAACGGGUGAGUAAUGCAUCGGAACGUGCCCGAUCGUGGGGGAUAACGCAGCGAAAGCUGCGCUAAUACCGCAUACGAUCUGAGGAUGAAAGCGGGGGACCGUAAGGCCUCGCGCGAUCGGAGCGGCCGAUGUCAGAUUAGGUAGUUGGUGGGGUAAAGGCCCACCAAGCCGACGAUCUGUAGCUGGUCUGAGAGGACGACCAGCCACACUGGGACUGAGAAACGGCCCAGACUCCGACGGGAGGCAGCAGUGGGGAAUUUUGGACAAUGGGCGAAAGCCUGAUCCAGCAAUGCCGCGUGCAGGAAGGAGGCCUUCGGGUUGUAAACUGCUUUUGUACGGAGCGAAAAGGUCCUUUCUAAUACAAGGGGCUCAUGACGGUACCGUAAGAAUAAGCACCGGCUAACUACGUGCCAGCAGCCGCCGUAAAAC